CCUACGGGAGGCUGCAGUCGAGAAUCAUUCACAAUGGGGGAAACCCUGAUGGUGCGACGCCGCGUGGGGGAAUGAAGUUCUUCGGAUUGUAAACCCCUGUCAUGUGGGAGCAAAUUAAAAAGAUCGUACCACAAGAGGAAGAGACGGCUAACUCUGUGCCAGCAGCCGCGGUAAUACAGAGGUCUCAAGCGUUGUUCGGAAUCACUGGGCGUAAAGCGUGCGUAGGCUGUUUCGUAAGUCGUGUGUGAAAGGCGCGGGCUCAACCCGCGGACGGCACAUGAUACUGCGAGACUAGAGUAAGGGAGGGGGAACCGGAAUUCUCGGUGUAGCAGUGAAAUGCGUAGAUAUCGAGAGGAACACUCGUGGCGAAGGCGGGUUCCUGGACAGUAACUGACGCUGAGGCACGAAGGCCAGGGGAGCGAAAGGGAUUAGAUACCCCUGUAGUC
rnacentral:rRNA from 1 species